rnacentral:rRNA from 1 species
AGUGAACGCUGGCGGUAUGCCUAACACAUGCAAGUCGAACGGCAGGACAGUAAGAGCUUGCUCUUACGGUUAGCGAGUGGCGGGCGGGUGAGGAAUACAUCAGCAUCUUCUUUUUCGGGGGGGAUAACGGGGGAACGGAUACGAUAACACCUCAUACUUUCUACGGGAUAGAGCAAAAGAUCUUGGGAGCUUGCGCGAUUGUAUUAGCCGGUUUCGGGCUGGAUUAGCGAGUUGGUAAGGUAACGGCUCACCAAGGCAACGAUGCUUAGCUGACCUGAGAGGAUGAUCGGCCACACUGGAACUGAGACACGGUCCAGACUCCUACGGGAGGCAGCAGUGGGGAAUCUUCGGCAAUGGGCGCAAGCCUGACGCAGCAAUGCCGCGUGAGUGAUGAAGGUCUUCGGAUCGUAAAACCCUUUUAUUAGGGAAGAACAGAAGUGUAAGUAACUGUCCACAUCUUGACGGUACCUAAUCAGAAAGCCACGGCUAACUACGUG